rnacentral:rRNA from 1 species
UAACUGAAGAGUUUGAUCAUGGCUCAGAUUGAACGCUGGCGGCAGGCUUAACACAUGCAAGUCGAGCGGGGGAAGGUAGCUUGCUACUGGACCUAGCGGCGGACGGGUGAGUAAUGCUUAGGAAUCUGCCUAUUAGUGGGGGACAACAUCUCGAAAGGGAUGCUAAUACCGCAUACGUCCUACGGGAGAAAGCAGGGGAUCUUCGGACCUUGCGCUAAUAGAUGAGCCUAAGUCGGAUUAGCUAGUUGGUGGGGUAAAGGCCUACCAAGGCGACGAUCUGUAGCGGGUCUGAGAGGAUGAUCCGCCACACUGGGACUGAGACACGGCCCAGACUCCUACGGGAGGCAGCAGUGGGGAAUAUUGGACAAUGGGGGGAACCCUGAUCCAGCCAUGCCGCGUGUGUGAAGAAGGCCUUAUGGUUGUAAAGCACUUUAAGCGAGGAGGAGGCUACUUUAGUUAAUACCUAGAGAUAGUGGACGUUACUCGCAGAAUAAGCACCGGCUAACUCUGUGCCAGCAGCCGCGGUAAUACAGAGGGUGCGAGCGUUAAUCGGAUUUACUGGGCGUAAAGCGUGCGUAGGCGGCUUAUUAAGUCGGAUGUGAAAUCCCCGAGCUUAACUUGGGAAUUGCAUUCGAUACUGGUGAGCUAGAGUAUGGGAGAGGAUGGUAGAAUUCCAGGUGUAGCGGUGAAAUGCGUAGAGAUCUGGAGGAAUACCGAUGGCGAAGGCAGCCAUCUGGCCUAAUACUGACGCUGAGGUACGAAAGCAUGGGGAGCAAACAGGAUUAGAUACCCUGGUAGUCCAUGCCGUAAACGAUGUCUACUAGCCGUUGGGGCCUUUGAGGCUUUAGUGGCGCAGCUAACGCGAUAAGUAGACCGCCUGGGGAGUACGGUCGCAAGACUAAAACUCAAAUGAAUUGACGGGGGCCCGCACAAGCGGUGGAGCAUGUGGUUUAAUUCGAUGCAACGCGAAGAACCUUACCUGGCCUUGACAUACUAGAAACUUUCCAGAGAUGGAUUGGUGCCUUCGGGAAUCUAGAUACAGGUGCUGCAUGGCUGUCGUCAGCUCGUGUCGUGAGAUGUUGGGUUAAGUCCCGCAACGAGCGCAACCCUUUUCCUUACUUGCCAGCAUUUCGGAUGGGAACUUUAAGGAUACUGCCAGUGACAAACUGGAGGAAGGCGGGGACGACGUCAAGUCAUCAUGGCCCUUACGGCCAGGGCUACACACGUGCUA